rnacentral:rRNA from 1 species
UACAGAGGGUGCGAGCGUUGUUCGGAAUUAUUGGGCGUAAAGGGCGCGUAGGCGGUGCGGUAAGUCACCUGUGAAAUCUCCUGGCUCAACUGGGAGCUUGCAGGCGAAACUGCCGUGCUGGAGUGUGGGAGAGGUGCGUGGAAUUCCUGGUGUAGCGGUGAAAUGCGUAGAUAUCGGAAGGAACACCUGUGGCGAAAGCGGCUCACCGGACCAUUACUGACGCUGAUGCACGGAAGCUAGGGGAGCAAACAGG